AUUGAACGCUGGCGGCAGGCUUAACACAUGCAAGUCGAGCGGUAGCACAGGGGAGCUUGCCCCCUGGGUGACGAGCGGCGGACGGGUGAGUAAUGUCUGGGAAACUGCCUGAUGGAGGGGGAUAACUACUGGAAACGGUAGCUAAUACCGCAUAACGUCGCAAGACCAAAGAGGGGGACCUUCGGGCCUCUUGCCAUCAGAUGUGCCCAGAUGGGAUUAGCUAGUAGGUGGGGUAAUGGCUCACCUAGGCGACGAUCCCUAGCUGGUCUGAGAGGAUGACCAGCCACACUGGGACUGAAACACGGUCCAGACUCCUACGGGAGGCAGCAGUGGGGAAUAUUGCACAAUGGGCGCAAGCCUGAUGCAGCCAUGCCGCGUGUGUGAAGAAGGCCUUCGGGUUGUAAAGCACUUUCAGCGAGGAGGAAGGUGGUGAGCUUAAUACGUUCAUCAAUUGACGUUACUCGCAGAAGAAGCACCGGCUAACUCCGUG
rnacentral:rRNA from 1 species